AUUGAACGCUGGCGGCAGGCUUAACACAUGCAAGUCGAACGAGUGGCGGACGGGUGAGUAAUGCUUGGGAAUCUAGCUUAUGGAGGGGGAUAACUACGGGAAACUGUAGCUAAUACCGCGUACCAUAGGAUGAGCCCAAAUGGGAUUCGGUAGUUGGUGAGGUAAAGGCUCACCAAGCCGACGAUCCAUAGCUGGUCUGAGAGGAUGACCAGCCACACUGGGACUGAGACACGGCCCAGACUCCUACGUGUGGCAGCAGUGGGGAAUAUUGCGCAAUGGGGGCAACCUGACGCAGCCAUGCCGCGUGAAUGAAGAAGGUCUUCGGGUUGUAAAGUUCUUUCGGUAGCGAAGCGUUACCUACAGAAGAAGCACCGGCUAACUCCGUGCCAGCAGCCGCGGUAAUUC
rnacentral:rRNA from 1 species